rnacentral:rRNA from 1 species
UACGUAGGCAGCAAGCGUUGUUCGGAGUUACUGGGCGUAAAGGGUGCGUAGGCGGCUUUUUAAGUCUGGUGUGAAAUCUCCCGGCUCAACUGGGAGGGUGCGCCGGAUACUGAGGGGCUAGAGUGUGGGAGAGGAAAGUGGAAUUCCGAGUGUAGAGGUGAAAUUCGUAGAUAUUCGGAAGAACACCAGUGGCGAAGGCGACUUACUGGACACAUAUUGACGCUGAGGUGCGAAAGCGUGGGGAGCAAACAGG